GUACACGCUGUGACUAGCAUAUCAAUAAGCGGAGGAAAAGGGGGCUAUUACCUACGCUUAGGAUGUUGACACACGCGCGUGCUCGAUGAUAGUCUAUACAUGACUCUGUGCAUAUCAAUAAGCGGAGGAAAAGAAACUAACAAGGAUUCCCCUAGUAACGGCGAGUGAAGCGGGAAGAGCUCAAAUUUGAAAUCUUAAAGGGUUUCCCUUUACGAAUUGUAGUUUAAAGAAGUGUUUUCUGUUGAGGUUUUGGUAAAAGUUCUUUGGAAUAGGACAUCAUAGAGGGUGAGAAUCCCGUAUUUGACCUUUACUUUCAACUUUGUGAUACACUUUCAAAGAGUCGGAUUGUUUGGGAAUGCAGUCCAAAAUGGGUGGUAAAUUUCAUCUAAAGCUAAAUAUUGGCGAGAGACCGAUAGCGAACAAGUACCGUGAGGGAAAGAUGAAAAGAACUUUGAAAAGAGAGUUAAACAGUACGUGAAAUUGUCAAAAGGGAAGCGUUUGACACCAGUGUUGUUUUUCUGAAAAUCAAUUAAAGAACUGUUUAUGCUAAGCUGUUUAGACUCUAUCAGCUAACUGUUUAGUUUUGAGCUUUUCUUUGAUGCACUUUUCAGUUAACAAGUCAACAUCAAUUUCUUUUGCUGUAAAAAAGCUUGAGGAAGGUGGCUUGAGAUUCGUCUUAAGUGUUUAUAGCCUCUUGCCUAUGCAGUCGGAGAGAUUGAGGUCUGCAGCGUAGAUCCUUCGGGGCUAAAUGCAUUUGUGCUAAGUUAUAGCAUUUUAUAGACAACUUGUUGACUAUGAUUUGUCUUGUAGCUUACUCGCUUAUGUUAUUUUACCUACGCUUAGGAUGUUGAGUCGUAGAGCACGCAG
rnacentral:rRNA from 1 species